rnacentral:rRNA from 1 species
CAGUAGCCACGGGAAUACGUAGGUGGCAAGCGUUGUCCAGAAUUAUUGGGCGUAAAGGGCUCGCAGGCGGUUUCUUAAGUCUGAUGUGAAAGCCCCCGGCUCAACCGGGGAGGGUCAUUGGAAACUGGGAAACUUGAGUGCAGAAGAGGAGAGUGGAAUUCCACGUGUAGCGGUGAAAUGCGUAGAGAUGUGGAGGAACACCAGUGGCGAAGGCGACUCUCUGGUCUGUAACUGACGCUGAGGAGCGAAAGCGUGGGGAGCGAACAGGAUUAGAUACCCCUGUAGUCCCUGUCUCUUAUAC